rnacentral:lncRNA from 1 species
UACUCUCAAAUUCUCAAUGUCAAGUUGCCUUCAUUCUGACCCCGCUUCACCGGCUCUCUCUGCGUUCAAAUACACGUAAAAAAAUGGCGACGAAUUCACGUGGUCAUGGCGGCUGAUCACUACUUGAAAAAUACAAGUGUCUAAACCUCCUCUUAUCUUCACUCGUAUUAUGGUUCAUAUAUAUAUGCGCAUUCCUCUGCUAACUAAUAGUGCACAAAUUCAGCAAAAACACUUCGAUUCUACUCCUUUAAUUAUUGCAGAUCAGACAGGGCACCAGUUUAGACAGGAAACUCCAUGGAAGCUAACAUUUCAACUCGUAUUUAAUUAUUGCAGAUCAGACAGGGCACCAGUUUAGACCUCGUUUUGAGUUACCGGUGAAAAGUUCACGCGUGCUACUAUCUCAAGUGUUUAAUAUCAUCCUCUAGGACCUCUACUCUCAAAUUCUCAAUGUCAAGUUGCCUUCAUUCUGACCCCGCUUGACCGGCUCUCUCUGCGUUCAAAUACACGUAAAAAAAUGGCGACGAAUUCACGUGGUCAUGGCGGCUGAUCACUACUUGAAAAAUACAACUGUCUAAACCUCCCCUUAUCUUCACUCGUAUUAUGGUUCAUAUAUAUAUGCGAAUUCCUCUGCUAACUGAUAGUGCACAAAUUCAGCAAAAACACUUCGAUUCUACUCCUUUCAUCACUUUCUUAGCUAGUCGACGACAUUGUUGCUGCUUCAAUACAUUCUUUCCACGGUCUACGUACUAUUUGUCAUCAGCAUGUAUCCAUCAAAGCAAGACACCGCUCAUGAGAUGAACCAAAAGCCAUCACCUCCCUUGCCACCAGUACCGGUGACCGGCCAUCCAGUAGGACACUUCACAAACCAGCAUCACAAUGAGAUUCAUUCUCACCCCAUUCAGCAUCAACAGCAGCAGCCCGGUCGUUGGUCCUCCGGUCUUUGUGACUGCUUCUCUGACAUCCCUAAUUGUAAGUUCUUUCAGAUGAUUUGGAUUUCAAUUAUCAGUAACAUUCAUUUUGUAGCAAAUGCUGGAUUUCUAUUUACAUUAGAAUCAAAUCUUUUUUUUCUUUGAGUAGAAGCUAAUAUAUCUUUUAACUUGUUUUUAUAAAAAUCAACGAAUGUUAAACAUAAUUGAAGUGAAAGAUGCAAUUACACUAAAUUUAUUUAUGAUUUCUUAUGAUUGAGAAAAACAAUUUAUAAAAAUAAUAGCAAACGAAACCUUACUAAUUAGGUGCUUAACAUUUUCUGCUAUAUAUCAAUUGGUUGCAGGUUGCAUCACAUGUUGGUGCCCGUGCAUCACUUUUGGACGGAUCGCUGAGAUUGUAGACAAAGGAACAACAUGUGAGUACAAUACUAGUUCGUUUGUUUGUCCUGGAGAUGACCAUUUAUUAUGCGCAAAUUUUUUAGCGCAAACCACAUUUAUGAUGGUGUUGGAAAGAUAUUUAUUAGAUGUGCGGUUGUGAUUUGAUUUUUGUUGCAGCCUGUGCUGUAAGCGGAGCAAUUUAUGGCGUACUUUUAUGGUUCACUGGGUGUCCUUGCAUAUACUCGUGUCUAUAUCGAAAUAAAAUGAGGAAGCAGCUGAUGUUCGAGGACAGACCUUGUAAUGAUUGCUUGGUUCAUUUCUGCUGUGAUGCUUGUGCCCUGUGUCAGGAGUACAGAGAGCUCAAACAUCGUGGAUUUGAUAUGACAAUGGGUAAGCUCCUCGGGUGCUCAUUCCCUUGCCUCUUCAAUGAUUAAUUGCAUAAGUGAUGCUAUAUCCCUUCUGGGCUGUGCUCUGUGGAUCUAUAUCAGUUGGUUUUUUCUUUCGUAGGUUGGCAAGAGAAUGUGGAGAGACAAAAUGGUGGAGUGACCAUGAUCGCAUCAGCACCGACCGUUGAACAAGGCAUGAAACGCUGAAUGAGCCAUGCAUGCUCUGAAUGUUUGUGUGUUAUAUGUACGGUAGAAGAGAAAGAAGAAGAAUUCAAAAAGAAGAAGAAUAAAAGAUGUGAUCAAGAUUGUGCCGUUGGCAUCCUUGUAUGUUUUGUGCUGCUAUAUUUCUCUUUUCUUGUAUUUGUUUAUUUUUAUUGAUUGAGAUCACAAAAGCAAUGUUCCUCAAUCUUGUACGAUAAUAGUCUGCUUCAAUCGAAUGUAAGAUAUCUAUCAUUUUUUAAUCAUUUGUUUAAUUCUUGAUCGAUCAUUGAUUAAAUUUGAACAAAAAUCCAUCCAAUCAAUAGUUGACAUGCGUCCACCAGGAGGAUGGAAACCUUGCCAUUACGAACUGUGGCGCUAGUGAUGGUGUUCCUGUUGGGCGGCAUAUUUGUUUGUUCUUCUAUCUGUUAUCGAAACUGAAGAAUCCGUCCUCGACAUCUUCUCUCCCCGCAUCUCCUUCUCGUCCUCCCUGUUGGAAGAUAUACAUGGCCGCCAACGCGUUGAGCCUAGCUGUCUAGCAUUUUAAUAUUCUGGAUAGCUUGCUUUCUUUUGACACCUAAGGUGCCUUAAAAUGAUAUUAACUAGAAAAUUAAAACAAGUCGGCUAAAUAUUGUUGAACAAACAUUAUCCACUCACCCGUAUAGUGGAUAUACAGUGUAUAUUUCAAUAAUUCAUUUUAGCACUUGAUGUUUUAUUUUAGGCGAUUUAAUCUUAAUUAAAGAUUGCUUCUGAUAUUUUAGGCAAGGGUGGAAUUGAAAGGAGAUGGACCAAAAUUAAAAGGACGUCAAAUAUGGGAGACGUGCCAAAUUAUUUUUUGUAAAUACACUUAAAUCCUCAAACUUAAAAAAUAACACAAAUUAUACAAUUUAGGUCCCUUUAGAUUCCACAAAAAUCAAUUUUGGUACAAAAUUUUAUUUAUAGUAUUUUUUAGUUCCUGAUUAGAAAAAAGAGAGACAGAAAGAGGUCGCUAUAUUCAGCGAUGAAAGAGAAUGUCGUCGUUCAAGCCAUUUCCGACCACCAAAAUAGAUGUUUUUUUGUCCAUGUGUUCCAUAAGAUAUGUAGGGCUUGAUUGUGUUGUUUACAACCUCAAUGUUGCAUGAAAAAAGAAAUCUAAACUAAGGACGAUAAAUCUAACCCAGUUUGAUUUCAUGUUUUUUUUUUAACUUUUUUUUUGGUAUUUUUAGUUGAUAAAUCGGUUUAUGGGUGCUCCAAAGAUGUUAAUGAGGUGUUUUUUUGAUUGAAAUAACUUAUAAAAUAGGUUUUUAAACAAAAAAAAAAAAACACUCUUUAAUUUUCUAGCAGCUAGUAAAUGGCCAGAAUAUGAGUUCACGGACAAUUUUUGUUUUCAUCGUUCACUCUUUUAAAAAAUAUCUAAAAAAUAAAAUCAAUCUCAGUGUGUGGACUUGAGGUUAAAGACCCACUCGUACGCGCUAGGCUUUUCCUUGUAAUAGUAGAGGCGGAGUAUUAGGUUCACCCUAUUAGAGUUGAAGCUGUUAGAUUCAAUUCAAAUAUGGAUGUUGAACGGGCCGAGACUAAAUCUCUUAAAGAUCUGGCCUCCAUUUAGGACAGUGUAAAGUACCCAGAUUUUUCUUUUGACAGGGGUUACAGAUUAAAAUACUUGAUUGGAAGCUAGCAAUUUUAAAAUCAGAUUGAUAUAUAUAAACUAGGCUCAAAUUCAGUUAAUUUUAGUCGAUCUUGUUUUAUCCCUUCUUAUUAAUGGAUUCAUAUUUAAGUUUUUGGUGUUUUAUUCAUAUUUAAGAUGGAUAAUAGUGGUGAAGGCAUUUCAAAUAUUAAAUCAAUUAUAAUAGUAAACAGAUAAUAUUUAUUAUUAUUUUUAGUUAUAAAAUAUUAUAAACUAUAAAGGUAAUGAAUGUAAAGUAAAGAACAGCUUCGUCAGUCACCAUGUUCGAACAUUAAGAGAGUCAAGGUCAUUUUUCAUUUCAAUUUUCAAGCAAAUUACUAAUGUCCUUAUAUAUUACUUUAGUAACUGGUAGCUACACUUCUUGUGUGGGAUAAUCUUAUUAUAUUUAAUAUGAUUUUAAAUAUAAACUUUAAUAAAUAAGAAUAUUUAAUAACUACCUAUAUAAUAGGCGGAUGCACCUCCAUAGAGCUCUGGUUUCUACCAAACUAGACGAGUGAUAUUUUUUGGAAAUUAAUUGAACAAGCCUCGAUCUAAUUAAUAUAAAAAAUUAACAAUAUGAUAUUUUUAUUCCAAUUUUUAAUCAAGCAUGAAUAGAAAAAUAAUGUUAUUUUCAAAUAGUCUUAAACCUUCAAACUUGAAAAUGCAUUAUUAUCUAUAACGCACAACAAAUAUAACACAAACAAAGAAUCAUUAAUUGCUAUUCUUACAGAAACAAGAAAUAGAAAGUGAUUUAUAGUAUUGUCUUUGCAAAUAAAGAAGAAGAAGAAUAUCCUACAUUUUCGAAUCAAGAAAAGAAAGUAAUAACUUUCUAUCACUGGGUUCCCAGAAAAAUAUGUUCUCUCCGUCAAUAACUAGGUGAAGCCUUACGUCAACCAUAGAUGCCUGGUGUGCAAGUAGGGGCCAUGCGUGUUAAUUUUGGAGGCAAUUUUGACCACACCCUCGGUUUUCUGGGAAACAGUGUUCUGAUGAAGAUUUAUAAUUUUAUUCACUGCUGUAACAGAUUAUCAUAAUAUAUAGUUUCAUAAACUAUAGAAAAAAUAUUCUUUCAAAACCAUUUAAUUGUGGAACGUCUACAACUUUGAACACUUCUAUAUAUUUUGGUUUUUUUAUGAUGGUUCGCGGUAUAAUUUCUUAAAAAUCUUAUGAGAAAUCUGGAAAAACGGAUCAGAUAAUAGUUUUUAGGGUUAAUUACAUAAAAACUCAUGAAUUAUAGUUUAUUAUCAAAGUUGUCCUUCAGUGACAUGUGGUAACUCUUUUCAUGUCUAAUCAAUUAUUUAGAAGGUGACGUGUUAUUUUAUUAAGUUUAUCUUCUUACAACGUCACCGGCAUUGCAAACACAUUAGUUUAUUGUUUAUGAAACUCGAAGGACACUAGCCAGGAAACUCCAUGGAAGCUGACAUUUCAACUCGUGUUUAAUUAUUGCAGAUCAGACAGGGCACCAGUUUAGACCUCGUUUUGAGUUACCGGUGAAAAGUUCACGCGUGUUACUAUCUCAAGUGUUUAAUAUCAUCCUCUAGGACCUCUACUCUCAAAUUCUCAAUGUCAAGUUGCCUUCAUUCUGACCCCGCUUGACCGGCUCUCUCUGCGUUCAAAUACACGUAAAAAAAUGGCGACGAAUUCACGUGGUCAUGGCGGCUGAUCACUACUUGAAAAAUACAACUGUCUAAACCUCCUCUUAUCUUCACUCGUAUGAUGGUUCAUAUAUAUAUGCGCAUUCCUCUGCUAACUAAUAGUGCACAAAUUCAGCAAAAACACUUCGAUUCUACUCCUUUAAUUAUUGCAGAUCAGACAGGGCACCAGUUUAGACAGGAAACUCCAUGGAAGCUAACAUUUCAACUCGUAUUUAAUUAUUGCAGAUCAGACAGGGCACCAGUUUAGACCUCGUUUUGAGUUACCGGUGAAAAGUUAACGCGUGCUACUAUCUCAAGUGUUUAAUAUCAUCCCCUAGGACCUCUACUAUCAAAUUCUCAAUGUCAAGUUGCCUUCAUUCUGACCCCGCUUCACCGGCUCUCUCUGCGUUCAAAUACACGUAAAAAAAUGGCGACGAAUUCACGUGGUCAUGGCGGCUGAUCACUACUUGAAAAAUACAAGUGUCUAAACCUCCUCUUAUCUUCACUCGUAUUAUGGUUCAUAUAUAUAUGCGCAUUCCUCUGCUAACUGAUAGUGCACAAAUUCAGCAAAAACACUUCGAUUCUACUCCUUUCAUCACUUUCUUAGCUAGUCGACGACAUUGUUGCUGCUUCAAUACAUUCUUUCCACGGUCUACGUACUAUCUGUCAUCAGCAUGUAUCCAUCAAAGCAAGACACCGCUCAUGAGAUGAACCAAAAGCCAUCACCUCCCUUGCCACCAGUACCGGUGACCGGCCAUCCAGUAGGACACUUCACAAACCAGCAUCACAAUGAGAUUCAUUCUCACCCCAUUCAGCAUCAACAGCAGCAGCCCGGUCGUUGGUCCUCCGGUCUUUGUGACUGCUUCUCUGACAUCCCUAAUUGUAAGUUCUUUCAGAUGAUUUGGAUUUCAAUUAUCAGUAACAUUCAUUUUGUAGCAAAUGCUGGAUUUCUAUUUACAUUAGAAUCAAAUCUUUUUUUUCUUUGAGUAGAAGCGAAUAUAUCUUUUAACCUGUUUUUAUAAAAAUCAACGAAUGUUAAACAUAAUUGAAGUGAAAGAUGCAAUUACACUAAAUUUAUUUAUGAUUGAAAAAAACAAUUUCUAAAAAUCAUGGCAACCGAAACCUUACUAAUUAGCUGCUUAACAUUUGCUGCUAUCAAUUGGUUGCAGGUUGCAUCACAUGUUGG